GCCCGGAUAGCUCAGUUGGUAGAGCAGUGGAUUGAAGAUCCUCGUGUCACCGGUUCGAAUCCGGUUCUGGGCA
rnacentral:tRNA from 2 species